CCUACGGGAGGCAGCAGUGGGGAAUAUUGGACAAUGGGGGGAACCCUGAUCCAGCCAUGCCGCGUGUGCGAAGAAGGCCCUCGGGUUGUAAAGCACUUUCAGUGGGGAAGAAAGCCUUCCGGUUAAUACCCGGGAGGAAGGACAUCACCCACAGAAGAAGCACCGGCUAACUCCGUGCCAGCAGCCGCGGUAAU
rnacentral:rRNA from 1 species